UACAGAGGGUGCGAGCGUUGUUCGGAAUUAUUGGGCGUAAAGCGCUUGUAGACGGCUUGUUAAGUUCCGUGUGAAAUCCCCAGGCUUAACCUGGGAAGUGCGCGGAAAACUGGCGAGCUUGAGUGCCGGAGAGGGUCGCGGAAUUCCCGGUGUAGCGGUGAAAUGCGUAGAGAUCGGGAGGAACACCAGUGGCGAAGGCGGCUACCUGGACCAGCACUGACACUGAGGCACGAAAGCGUGGGGAGCAAACAGG
rnacentral:rRNA from 1 species